rnacentral:misc_RNA from 1 species
GAUGAACAACGCAGCGAAAUGCGAUAAGUAAUGUGAAUUGCAGAAUUCAGUGAAUCAUCGAAUCUUUGAACGCACAUUGCGCCCCCUGGUAUUCCGGGGGGCAUGCCUGUCCGAGCGUCAUUACAACCCUCAAGCUCAGCUUGGUGUUGGGCCCCGCCGCCCCGGCGGGCCCUAAAGUCAGUGGCGGUGCCGUCCGGCUCCGAGCGUAGUAAUUCUUCUCGCUCUGGAGGUCCGGUCGUGUGCUUGCCAGCAACCCCCAAUUUUUUUCAGGUUGACCUCGGAUCAGGUAGGGAUACCCGCUGAACUUAAGCAUAUCAAUAAGCGGAGGA